ACCUCAGGCUCUCAGCAAGUCACAAGAAAACAAGAAAACAUGAUGCUGUCUGAGCAAUUGGUACAGGAAGCCUGGACUCAUUGCUGAGGAAAUCAGAACUUCUUUGCAAAAGUGGUGACAAUCUGUGGCCAAGAUGCUGCCGGGAGAUGACUACAGGCACAGGAGAGGAGUUUCAGGCAGGUCAGUGAGUUCAUGUGUAUUUCAGAUGAAGGGAUU
rnacentral:lncRNA from 1 species